rnacentral:lncRNA from 1 species
AGUGUCCAGAAAAGUAUAAACAAACUGGAAAACUGAGAAAACAAUAUUUGCAACAUAUGACGGUUAAAGAUGCACCUUUUAUACAUAGUUAGCUCUCAUGAAUUAAUAAGGAAAAGGGAAAAUAAGACAAAUCACUUUUAAUAAAAUAACUAUAAAUGGUCAAUGAAGCAAGGGAAAACAAUGUUCAAACUUUCUAUUGAUACAGCAAAUCAGUAAAGAUAGAAAAAAAUGAUUAUCUUAGUUACAAUUAUGGCUACUGAACAACUUCCCCUAACUAUCAGCAGCUUAAAAUAACAGACUGUUUCUCACAGUUUCUGUGAGUCAAGCAUCUGGGGUAGCUCAGGGUUGGUUCUGGCUCAAGGUUUUUUAUGAUGUUGCCUUGAAAGAUUGAACUGAAGCCAAAGGAGUCUCUUUCAAACUCAUCCCCUGCCUGCCUCUCCACUGGACUUCCAACAACACGGAUGCUUGCUUUUCUCAGCAUUAAGUGAUAAGAGAGAGAGAGAGAGAGAGAGAGAGAGAGAGAGAGAACAAGAUGGAAAUAGUCUUUUUAUAACUCAGUCUCUGAAGUGAUAGCCCAUCAUUUCUGCUAUGUUCUAUUCGUUAGAACCAAGACACUAAGUGCACCCUACUCUGAAGGGGAGAGAAUCAUUGGACACCAUUUUAGAGGCUAUCUAACGCAAUGAUCAUCUCCAACAUGGCUGGACUAUGAUGAUACAGGUGGGAAAAGAUCCCUCUCCACAAUGGAUUAACAACAGACAUCUGAAGUUGUACUGUUUAAAUAUCUUUGAAUUAUUUUUGUUUAAAAAUGUCAAUGGGUACGAUAGGAAAAGUACAUUUUUUUCCCUGUAACUUCAAAACAACUGAACAGAACCUUUGGACUGAAACCAAGAAUUGAAUGCUUUAGCUUUAAGAAGAUUUUCCUUUCUGAAAAAUAAUGAAUGAGUCUCUUUAUAAGUUUAACUAUUUCAGGUUUCAAUUCUCUGACUUCCAGUGUGCUAUUUUUUUUUAAAUGUAAUGCUUCAUGAGUAAACAUUUUCUUCUUCUUCAGUUUUCUCUCAAGUCAUGUAGACUUCAGAUAUAAAACUUCUAUACAGAUGAGUUACAUCAUGCUUUUAGGUAUGUAAAAAGUAGGGUUCCAUUUUCUUAAUGGCUACUUUUGAGUGUGUAUUCGUGAGUGACAAUGCUUGAGGACAGCCUGCAAAGACUGGUGGAAUGAGAAAGACAUGGUUUUUCUACUUGCUACACAUGGGAUUUUAAUAGAGGUUCAUCUUUGUGAUAUUCCUUGGUGGGGGCACAACAGUGUUUAGUAAUUUUUAUUUAGUAGAUUUAGUGGAUUACAGAAAACGUGUUCAGGCCAUUGUGGAGACUGACCAAGAUCCAUAGUGUCUGAGACUCCAUGUUGGGACCAUUAAUUCCUGAGGUCUGCUUUUAGAUACAGCCAGACAUGCAAAGCAGACAGAUUACCAUAGGCCUUCUGUUUUAGAAAUCAGAACACAUAAGGGCAUCUGGCACACUCUGCUCUGCCUUCCAAACCACCAGAGCUUUCUAAGGCCAUCAAAACUUGCACCUGCUACCUACUUCAAGUGCACACAUUCCUUGACUCACAGUGUUCCAGCUGAAGCCUUCUCAAAUCAUUUGUGGGGAAGGCAAGCCAGUGAAUAAUGUGAAAAUUGCAAAGGCAGAUUUUAAAUUAUAAUGACUUUAUGAAAUUACUCUUAAUAUUCUUAAGUGUACACUGGCUCAUUUUUCCCCCAAGAACACAGUAUAUACAUCCCUUUUGUAUUUCCAUUCAAAACGUGUAUCUAUAAGGCAAAUGCACUCCUCUGUGAAGGAAAUUUGUAUAGAUAAGAUGAAUGGUAACUAUCACCAAGAGUUAAAAUGGUGACUCAGUUGAUAGGUGAAGGUUUAUCAGAAGGAAAAUAUGGAAUGAUAGAUUAGCAAACCUGUUGAUGGACUCAUUUUGCUUUCUUAUUUUCUGCAGUGCUUUUUGAUAAAACCAAAUUUGAUAAACCAAAUUUGGGACAAAGAACUGUAAUACAAAACAGAAUAUAAUAUUAACUUGGUGUGAUAGAAAAUACAUUCUACUGGUUUAUCUUCUAGUCUCCAAAGUGAUUCUAUGGAAUAUAUAUAAUAUGUAAACUAAAGUAAAAAAGUAACAUACUUACUAUAAGAAUUUGUUAUUUUUAUUGAUCAUGAUUUAAUAUUUUAUGAUUACAUAGAAAUAAAGGAGCAGUAUGUUGAGAAUUGUAUUUCAGGAUGAUUUAUCUGGCAUUGUGUGUGCUAAGAAGAGAAAGACUAUGAGAAGAAAAAGUCAAUUUCAUUUCUAGUAAUAAAGAUUAUGUUUUAAAAAUCAGUAUUCCACAUUAAAUUUAUUAUAAUAAGA